CAGCCGCCGCGGGAAUACGAAGGGUGCAAGCGUUACUCGGAAUUACUGGGCGUAAAGCGUGCGUAGGUGGUGGUUUAAGUCCGUUGUGAAAGCCCUGGGCUCAACCUGGGAAUUGCAGUGGAUACUGGGUCACUAGAGUGUGGUAGAGGAUAGUGGAAUUUCCGGUGUAGCAGUGAAAUGCGUAGAGAUCGGAAGGAACAUCUGUGGCGAAGGCGACUAUCUGGGCCAACACUGACACUGAGGCACGAAAGCAUGGGGAGCAAACAGGAUUAGAUACCCCAGUAGUCCCUGUCUCUUAUAC
rnacentral:rRNA from 1 species